CUGAAAUUUACAAGAAUUCUGGUGAAUGAGGACUUCUGGUGCACAAUGCUCUUUGGAGUAAGUGACAAUAAAUGGUGCACAAGGCAAGAUGGAAUCAGGUCCAAAAAGGGGGAAGUGUAUCCUAGCAUGGUGUAUAAAGGCCUGAGGGUGCCUGAUAUACAAUGUCACAAUUGCUCCAAAGCCAUCCAUAUUCCAAUCUAACUAGAUUGUGACUUGAACUACAUGCCUGCAGAAGGAGGUAAGAAUUUGCCUUAUGCCAUUGUGUGGGUUACCAAGAUCUUGGCUCUGGGAAGGUAGAAGAAGGCAGGUGUCACGUGCCUGUUUACUCCCUAUAUGGAGCAGGGGAGAAGGGAGGAGGCAGGGAAUAGGUAAAGCCUUGGCUCAAUCCUCUACUCACUGGCCACCAGCAGUGUACCCUGCAACAAGUUUCUACCACACAAGGAGCAAGGAGAAAUACUGUAAGUGUAGAAAUUGUGACUUAGGGGUGUAUUUCUGAGUCACAGCGCCUCCUGGUGCCACAACCACAAGCUCAAGGUUGUGUCUAAUCUUUAAAGGCUCAAACUCACCCAUACUAAUUAGAUAUGCUGACUGCACUGAGCAACUAGCUAUCAUGCCAGAUUAUUAGGUUUUUGGCUUAAACUUCCUUUGGAGGGGUGUUCUUGCCAGACUGUGUUCCAACAAGCAUUUUUUACCCCAUGGACUCUGUACCUCUGAAGGAAUA